rnacentral:rRNA from 1 species
CAGUAGCCGCGGUAAUACGUAGGGUCCGAGCGUUGUCCGGAAUUAUUGGGCGUAAAGAGCUCGUAGGCGGUCUGUCGCGUCUGCCGUGAAAUCCUCAGGCUCAACCUGAGGCGUGCGGUGGGUACGGGCAGGCUAGAGUGCGGUAGGGGAGAAUGGAACUCCUGGUGUAGCGGUGGAAUGCGCAGAUAUCAGGAAGAACACCGAUGGCGAAGGCAGUUCUCUGGGCCGUAACUGACGCUGAGGAGCGAAAGCGUGGGGAGCGAACAGGAUUAGAGACCCGCGUAGUCCCUGUCUCUUAUAC